rnacentral:tRNA from 1 species
GAGGGGUGGUUCAACCAACAAGAACUGCUAAUUCUUGCAUCUGAGUUUGAAAUCUCAGCCCCCUUA